rnacentral:rRNA from 1 species
CUGGCGCGUGCUUACCUGCAAGUCGAACGGAAAGCCCCUUCGGGGGAAUUCGAGAGGCGAACGGGUGAGUAACACGUGGGCAAUCUGCCCCUCACUCUGGGAUAACUCGGGGAAACCCGAGCUAAUACCGGAUACUUCGUCGAGGUCGCAUGGCCAUGACGAGAAAGCUCCGACGGUGAGGGAUGAGCCCGCGGCCCAUUAGCUUGUUGGUGAGGUAACGGCUCACCAAGGCAACGAUGGGUAGCCGAGCUGAGGGGCUGAUCGGCCACACUGGGACUGAGACACGGCCCAGACUCCUACGGGAGGCAGCAGUGGGGAAUAUUGCGCAAUGGGCGAAAGCCUGACGCAGCAACGCCGCGUGCGGGAUGAAGGCUCUCGGGUCGUAAACCGCUUUCAGCAGGGACGAAACUGACUGUACCUGCAGAAGAAGCCCCGGCUAAAUACGUGCCAGCAGCCGCGGUAAUACGUAUGGGGCAAGCGUUAUCCGGAUUCAUUGGGCGUAAAGAGCGCGUAGGCGGCUUGUUAAGUCGGAUGUGAAAUCUGGGGGCUCAACCCGCAGCUUGCAUCCGAAACUGGCAGGCUUGAGUCUGGUAGAGGAAAGUGGAAUUCCCAGUGUAGCGGUGAAAUGCGCAGAUAUUGGGAGGAACACCAGUGGCGAAGGCGGCUUUCUGGGCCACGACUGACGCUGAGGCGCGAAAGCUAGGGGAGCAAACAGGAUUAGAUACCCUGGUAGUCCUAGCCGUAAACGAUGGGCACUAGGUGUGGGGGGGUCAUCAACU